rfam:Ictidomys tridecemlineatus contig022804, whole genome shotgun sequence.
AAAUAGGUUUUACUAAAAACCACCCUCUUACAAACCAUGGGAAAA